rnacentral:rRNA from 1 species
AAUACUUACCCCACCAAAGUAUCCGCCCGAGAACUACGAGCACAAACGCUUAAAACUCUAAGGACUUGGCGGUGUCCCAAAUCCACCUAGAGGAGCCUGUUCUAUAAUCGAUAACCCACGAUACACCCAACCGUUCCUUGCCAAAACAGCCUACAUACCGCCGUCGCCAGCCCACCUCCCCUGAGAGCUCAACAGUGGACACAAUAGCCUACCCCGCUAGCAAGACAGGUCAAGGUAUAGCCCAUGGAGCGGAAGAAAUGGGCUACAUUUUCUAAAAUAGAAAACUCUACGGAAGGGGUAUGAAACACCCCUAGAAGGCGGAUUUAGCAGUAAAGCGGGAUAAUAUACGCCCCCUUUAAACCGGCCCUGGNN